UCCCCAUCACAUUGCGGCGGAUGGGGCUCAGCUCCGAGGCUGUUGUUUACAGCGAGUCAGACACGGGGGUUAGGGAAUUCAAGCAGGGUAAAGAAAAAAGGGAACUUUCAUUAACUAUGUAGCCGACAGGAAACCUUGUCGACUUGGGCAUAGCCUAUAUAUUUAUAACAGAUGUUUGAUGCACAAAAAGCCACCAGUUUUCUGAUGGGGUCACAGUUCCAAUGGAGGGCAGCUAGGGGGCGCCGUACCUCGGGCCGUAAGGCCUACCUUGACGAGGGUGGAGACGGGGUGGACGCUCCUGAGGUUCUUAAGGAUGGACUGCGUGAGGCCGCCCACGCUCAGUCCGAUGGCCCAGG